rnacentral:rRNA from 1 species
AGCAGCCGCGGUAAUUCCAGCUCCAAUAGCGUAUAUUAAAGUUGUUGCAGUUAAAAAGCUCGUAGUUGAACUUCGGGAUCAAUGGAUCGGUCAUGCCAUCGGUACGUACUGGUCUCAUUGGUUCUCACCUUCUAAGGAACCAUAAUGUCAUUCAUUUGAUGUUUUGGGGAAUUAGGACUGUUACCUUGAAAAAAUUAGAGUGUUUAAAGCAGGCUAACGCUUGAAUACAUUAGCAUGGAAUAAUGAAAUAGGACAUCGCAUUCUAUUUUGUUGGUUUCUAGGAUCGAUGUAAUGAUUAAUAGGGAUAGUUGGGGGCAUUAGUAUUCAAUUGUCAGAGGUGAAAUUCUUGGAUUUUAUUGAAGACUAACUACUGCGAAAGCAUUUGCCAAGGAUGUUUUCAUUAAUCAAGAACGAAAGUUAGGGGAAUCGAAGACGAUCAGAUACCGUCCGUAGUCUUAAACCAUAAACUAUGCCGACUAGGGAUCGGAUGAUGUUGAUUUUUUAAUGACU